rnacentral:rRNA from 1 species
GCGCAGCAGUCGAGAAACUUCACAAUGUGCGAAAGCACGAUGAGGGAAUCCCAAGUGCUUGCUCGUAAGAGUAAGCUGUUUCUCUGUCUAAAACGCAGAGAGAGUAAGGGCUGGGCAAGACGGGUGCCAGCCGCCGCGGUAAUACCUGCAGCUCGAGUGGUGGCCGCUAUUAUUGGGCCUAAAACGUCCGUAGCCGGUUUAUUAAAUGCCUGGGUAAAUCGGACCGCUUAACGGUUCGAAUUCCGGGUAGACUGAUAAACUUGAGACCGGGAGAAGCUAGAGGUACUCCUGGGGUAGAGGUGAAAUUCUGUAAUCCUAGGGGGACCACCAGUGGCGAAGGCGUCUAGCUAGAACGGGUCUGACGGUGAGGGACGAAGCCCUGGGGCGCAAACGGGAUUAGAUACCCGCGUAGU